rnacentral:rRNA from 1 species
GAUGAACGCUGGCGGCGUGCCUAAUACAUGCAAGUCGAGCGAACUGACGAGAAGCUUGCUUCUCUGAUGUUAGCGGCGGACGGGUGAGUAACACGUGGAUAACCUACCUAUAAGACUGGGAUAACUUCGGGAAACCGGAGCUAAUACCGGAUGAUAUUUUGAACCGCAUGGUUCAAAAGUGAAAGACGGUCUUGCUGUCACUUAUAGAUGGAUCCGCGCUGCAUUAGCUAGUUGGUAAGGUAACGGCUUACCAAGGCAACGAUGCAUAGCCGACCUGAGAGGGUGGUCGGCCACACUGGAACUGAGACACGGUACAGACUCCGACGGGAGGCAGCAGUAGGGAAUCUUCCGCAAUGGGCGAAAGCCUGACGGAGCAAAGCCGCGUGAGUGAUGAAGGUCUUCGGAUCGUAGAACUCUGUUAGUAGGGAAGAACAAAUGUGUAAGUAACUGUGCACAUCUUGACGGUACCUAAUCAGAAAGCCACGGCUAACUACGUG